UCUGGNUUAACUGGGGGCUUGCGGUGGGUACGGNCCGGCUUGAGUGCGGUAGGGGAGACUGGAACUCCUGGUGUAGCGGUGGAAUGCGCAGAUAUCAGGAAGAACACCGGUGGCGAAGGCGGNUCUCUGGGCCGUUACUGACGCUGAGGAGCGAAAGCGUGGGGAGCGAACAGGAUUAGAUACCCUGGUAGUCCACGCCGUAAACGUUGGGCACUAGGUGUGGGGGGCCUUUUCCGGGUCUUCCGCGCCGUAGCUAACGCAUUAAGUGCCCCGCCUGGGGAGUACGGCCGCAAGGCUAAAACUCAAAGGAAUUGACGGGGGCCCGCACAAGCGGCGGAGCAUGCGGAUUAAUUCGAUGCAACGCGAAGAACCUUACCAAGGCUUGACAUGUGCCGGUCGGCUCCGGAGACGGGGCUUCCUCCUUGUGGGGCCGGUUCACAGGUGGUGCAUGGUUGUCGUCAGCUCGUGUCGUGAGAUGUUGGGUUAAGUCCCGCAACGAGCGCAACCCUUGUCCCGUGUUGCCAGCACGUUGUGGUGGGGACUCGCGGGAGACUGCCGGGGUCAACUCGGAGGAAGGUGGGGAUGACGUCAAAUCAUCAUGCCCCUUAUGUCUUGGGCUUCACGCAUGCUACAAUGGCCGGUACAGAGGGCUGCGAUACCGUGAGGUGGAGCGAAUCCCUUAAAGCCGGUCUCAGUUCGGAUCGGUGUCUGCAACUCGACACCGUGAAGUUGGAGUCGCUAGUAAUCGCAGAUCAGCAACGCUGCGGUGAAUACGUUCUCGGGCCUUGUACACACCGCCCGUCACGUCAUGAAAGUCGGCAA
rnacentral:rRNA from 1 species